GGACUACCCGGGUAUCUAAUCCUGUUCACUCCCCACGCUUUCGCUCCUCAGCGUCAGUACCGGCCCAGACCACCGCCUUCGCUACUGGUGUUCCUCCUGAUAUCUGCGCAUUUCACCGCUACACCAGGAAUUCCAUGGUCCCCUACCGGACUCUAGCCAUGGCAGUAUCAGGUGGCAUCUCCAAGUUGAGCCUGGAGGUUUCACACCCGACUUACCAAGCCGCCUACGAGCUCUUUACGCCCAGUGAAUCCGGACAACGCUCGCCCCCUACGUAUUACCGCGGCUGCUGGCAC
rnacentral:rRNA from 1 species